GAUUGAGUUUGAUCCUGGCUCAAGAUGAACGCUGGCGGCGUGCCUAACACAUGCAAGUCGAACGAGCAUGUGCAUGAAACCUAGUGAUUGCGCAUGCGAGUGGCGGACGGGUGAGUAACGCGUGGACAACCUGCCGCAUGCAGGGGGAUACCGGCUGGAAACAGCCGCUAAUACCGCAUAUGCGCACAGCGCCGCAUGGCGCAGUGCGGAAAGGGAGCAAUCCCGGCAUGCGAUGGGUCCGCGUCCGAUUAGCUUGUUGGCGGGGCAGCGGCCCACCAAGGCAACGAUCGGUAGCCGGCCUGAGAGGGCGGACGGCCACAUUGGGACUGAGACACGGCCCAGACUCCUACGGGAGGCAGCAGUGGGGGAUAUUGCACAAUGGGGGGAACCCUGAUGCAGCGACGCCGCGUGGGUGAAGGAGUGCUUCGGCAUGUAAAGCCCUAUCGGCAGGGAAGAAGCAAGACGGUACCUGACUAAGAAGCCCCGGCUAACUACGUGCCAGCAGCCGCGGUAAUACGUAGGGGGCGAGCGUUAUCCGGAUUCACUGGGU
rnacentral:rRNA from 1 species